ensembl:snRNA U6 U6 spliceosomal RNA
GUGCUCACUUCGGCAGCCCAUAUACUAAAAUUGGGAAAAUAGAGAUUUUAGCAUGGCCCCUGUGCAAGGAUGACAUGAAAUCUGGGAAGUGUUCUCUAUUAAA